UACGGAGGGUGCGAGCGUUGUUCGGAAUCACUGGGCGUAAAGCGCGUGUAGGCGGCCUCUUCAGUCUGGUGUGAAAGCCCGGGGCUCAACCCCGGAAGUGCAUUGGAUACUGGGAGGCUGGAGUACCGGAGAGGAGGGUGGAAUUCCUGGUGUAGCGGUGAAAUGCGUAGAUAUCAGGAGGAACACCUGUGGCGAAGGCGGCCCUCUGGACGGAUACUGACGCUGAGACGCGAAAGCGUGGGGAGCAAACAGG
rnacentral:rRNA from 1 species